AGGUAUAUUCCAUUCUGGAAUUUAACUUUAUUAAAGACCGAGUCUAAGCGUCGCAUCGUGCGAUGAGAGGUCGAUAGAGCACGACCCAUCGGUUUGUUACAUUGGAUAAAGGAAUAUAUUUAUCCUAAGAAGAAGAAAGAGUUCGCAAUAAGGACUUAUUUUGUAACUCGAAGGUUAUGAUUGAAAGUCCAAGAUAGUACGAAGAGCAGAUGCAGGAUUGAGCAUCAAGGUUAUUACUUAGAAUGGAAAGAUAACUUAUGGAGUCAGUAUGCGAAUCCUAUUUCGUUGAUGAUUCCGGGACGUAAUCAUCCUAAGGGGGAGAUAAUUGUAACGCCCGUAGAUCAGGGCUAGUCAAUUUAGAAACAAUAAGCGUCAAAAAUGACUUUUUGAUGGAAGAUUAUCUAGAAGGAUUAAUCUUAACCAAGUUGUAGUAUAUGUCACAAGGUUUCCGUGCAUAUAAAGAACGCCAAAAUCCGAGUUAUAACGAAGAAGUUAUGGCCCGUCGAAGUUUCGCGACAGAACCGGCACGACGCAAUGCAACGUAAAAAGUGAAUUUACGUUAGAGCGGUAUUUAGCCGAAGCAAUCUAAAUGAGAAUCGAAGAUCUCAUUGUUGGUAUCGAAGCGAUAAAAAGUUAGGCGAGAACGGACGUCAAACGAAGAAGUUAUGAAUUUAUAACGAAAGUUUAUGUCGCGGCCUAUUAAAAAUAAUUAAUAAAAAUAAAGUCAAAAUUAGCCGACGGAGUCUAAACGAAAGUUGUAGAGCGUAGUCUCACCUUCGCGUGGAUAUAAAGAACGUCGAAAACGGAGUUCGUAUGAAGAAGAUAUGAAUUUCCGAAGAUUAUUAAAUAAUUUGUAUUUAUUUUUAAUCUUUAAUUCGGAAGCAUUAUCCGAAGGAGUCACCGGUCUGAUCCGAGGUACGCGCCGCGUACUCGAGUACGCCCCGCGUACUCCGAAAGUGUCGACAUCGCAGCAAGUGGCUUCGGAUGACGAACGCAGUGACGUUUUUCGGACCAGUACGCCCCGCGUACUGGCGUACGCCCCGCGUACGUGCGAGGCUCAGCCUCUAUAAAAGGAAUCCGAAGGCAGCCGAUAGUUUUGCCAAUUUCUCCUCUUCUUUCUCCCAUUUUGCAUCGGUUUGCGUGCCAGAAAUACCCCGAAGCCCCGGUAUUGUUCUCAAGCCCCGAAGCAAGUCCCGAGAUCCCGAAGAUCCCGAGAAGUGCGGUUCCCGAGCCGAAGCUCUGCCCGCGAGAAGUUCGAUUUUUGAAGAGAUCUUCCAGAUCUGCUGAGGAUUACUACUUCUGCAAGUCGUAGUGCUGUCCGAUCAUCUUCUGAUCAAGUGAGUGUAUACUACCUUUCAUAAACACAAUAAUAAUACGAGUUUGGUUUGAGUGUAUUAAGAGUAUUGUUGUUUAUAAGUGUGAGUGUGUAGUUAUUUUCUUCUAACGCAUAAUUAUUAAGUAUUUUCGUUGAAAUACGUGCUACGUGGAUAAUAUAAAGUUGUUUAUAUGGAUGGAUGUAUAGUCCCUUUCAUAAACACGGGUAUAAUACAAGUAUUGUUUGAAUGUAUUAAGUGUACGUUUGGCAGAGUGUAUGGUUACUUUCUUCUAACACAUAAAUAUGAAGUAUUUGGUAUAAAAUACGUGCUAUGUGUUUAUAUAUUGUUGUUUAUUUGAGAUGAGUAUGGCAUGAAUGUUUUAUAUAGUUUUAAAAUGAGAUAAACUGUAUGUGUAUUCUAGAUCUACAAAUAUGUUGGGUAGAACAUGGGUAGAUGAGAUAGUUGGUAUGUGAUGAAAUGAUGAGGUAUGAAAGAUGAUUAAGAAUGAUAUUGGUAGAUGCACCAAUUAAAGAAUGUCAUAAGACUAGCAGAUGUGCUGUAGAAUAAUAUCGGUAGAUGCACCAAGUAGUGAAUGUCGUAAUCCUAGCAGAUGCGCUUAUAGGAUAAUGUCGGCAGAUGCGCCAAAUAGAGAUUGUCAUAAUAAAAGCAGAUGCGCUUAUAGAGUGAUCCUAGCAGAUGCGCUUAUAGGAUAUUGUUGGCAGAUGCGCCAAAUAAAGAUUGUCAUAAUAAUAGCGGAUGCGCUUAUAGGGUAAUCUUGGCAGAUGCGCUUAUAAGAUAAUGUCGGCGGAUGCGCCUAAAAGAGAAUGUCAUAAACCUGGCAAUCGCGCCUCAUAGUGUAUGACGUAAUCCUGGCAGAGGCGCUUAAAGGAUAAUGUUGGCAGAUGCGCCUUAUGUAGCAAUGGAAGUUUGUGUAAAUCCCUUAGGUCAAUCCUUAGGAAUGAAGGAAUGACGAGUAGUUGAAUUCCUAGGGUAAAAUCCUAAGAAACAUAAUAGGGAUGAAUAAUUGAGUUGAUUGUUUGAUGGUUGAAUAUAAUAAUUGUAUUAUUGUGGGUUGAAAACCCUAUAUGCUCACCAGGCUCCCAAGCCUGACCCACUCAGUUUUCUUUGCAUUACAGGUAAUGGCACAAGAGUAUAAGUUGGUGGACUUGACGAGAGAUUUUGGAUUAUAGGCCAGUAGUUAUGAAUAACUGUUGUAAGGUCUAUUUAUUAUUGUUUAUGCUUUUGGUCUGUAUCGGAACAUGACAUCCCGAGGUUUUAUUAUUUAAUGAAAAUACAUUCUCUUUGAGAAACGUUUUGAUAAAUGGUUAUCAUAUUUUAUUUUGGGAACAAAUUCCGCAACCGUUUUCUUUAAACGAUCACUCUGAUUUAUAAAACAAAGCAUAAACAAAUCGGUCUUUUCUGGCCGUGAAAAUGGGGAUGUCACAGUUGGUAUCAGAGCAUUAGUUUAAGCGAACUAGGAAUUUGUAGGAAAUUUCUAGACUUAAACUUAGAAUGCUAAGUAAUGAUUGUGAGGAGUGUGUCUAAAAUAUGUUAGGUAGUACACCUAAAUUGACACAAGCACUAGUUCAUUUUAGGAAUGAUGCCUAAAAUGCUUUUAUGUGCUAAAUGUUUUGUGUGAUAGCUAAAUUGAUGCUAUUAUUUGUUCGGAUCUAUGGUCUGUUGCCGACCGGAUCUGGAAACCUUAUGUGUUUAGGAUUCUAAGCGUACGUCUACGAUAUUAGAACUAGCAUGUAAACGUUUCGGAGUGAUAAGGGCGAUGUGAAUAUCUAUCGUGAUUGAGGAUAUAAUUUCACCUUAUUUGGUGUGUAGAUCAAAAAUGGUGAGAACAAGAAGUGGAGUUGGAAAUGCUGAUGAAAACAGGAAUCAACCACCAGUGAUUGAACAAGUACCUGUCGUAGCAGCAGCACCUGAGCCAAUAACCAUGGCUGGUGUGCAAAUGAUGAUUCAGACGAUGUUGGAUCGUCAGAUGGAUGAAACUAGACGGUUGCUUCAGCAGAAUCGUGAAGAACUGUCAAUUCGAGUGGAAGAGCCUGAAUUAAAUGAAGGGCACUCGGAAGGUGGAAACUUCAGUGGGUCUGUUGGUCAAGCCAACCCACCGAUAGUUAGGCAAGACAACCAUGGUGGAAGGAAUGAUGGAAUGGGAUGCAAGUACAAGGACUUUCUAACUUGCAAACCAUCGACCUUCAAUGGAAAGGAGGAUCCGAUUGGAGUUAUGGAUUGGAUUUCCGAAAUGGAGUUAGCCUUCAUGACUUAUGACUGCAGAGGCAAGUUGCAAACUAUCUAUGCAGUACGUCAGUUUAGGGGUGGGGCUGUUCGUUGGUGGAACACUUUGGGGAAGAUCCUAAGUCCUAAUGAGCCACUGCAACUGACCUGGGAAGAGUUCUUGGUGCUAUUCAAGCGCAAGUUCUGCUCGGCUCAAAAUCUAUUGGAUUUGGAGAAUAAGUUUCUGAUAUUGAAGAAAGGCAGCAUGUCAGUGGAUGAAUACACUAAUGCCUUCACAGACAAGAUGGAGUUUGCUUUACGCAUCGUCCCAGACGAACUGACAAAAGUCGACCGGUACGCAAAGGGACUCCCUUGGGAGUAUGCGGUGCCAGUGCGUCAGGCACCUACUCUAGAGGCAGCUAUUUGGGCUGCCAAGUCUGUUGAGAAUAUGAUCAAGGGGAGGACUGACAGUAAGGUUGAAGUUGGUGAGAAGAGAAAGUUAGAAGGAACUUCAGGUUCUAAUGAGAAAAGAAAAUCCUCGAAGUCUGGAGGAGGAGGAAGGGAUGAGGCACGGUGGUGCGAUAAGUGCAAGAAGAAGCACUCAGGAAAAUGUGGCGUGGAAGUGACAUGUUUCAAGUGUGGAAAGCAUGGGCAUUACGCCGAUGAAUGUAUUUUCAACAAAAAGGUGUGUUACGAAUGUAACGAAGAGGGGCACUUCAAGCAAGACUGCCCAAGGAAAAAUCAAACAGCAAGGCUAGAGGCGCCGCCAAAGCUAAAGGCAAGAGCAUUUCAAAUGAUCCUUGAUGAAGCAGAUGGCAAUGCAAGGAAUCAGGAAUAAGGAUCUUAUAUCUAAAGAUCAAGUUAUAAAGUAGCGAUAUGAAAAGUAACAUGUGGUGUAGCCUAUUAGAGGCAUAGUAUAGGGUGANGAUGAGAGGUCAGUAGAGCACGACCCAUCAGUUUGUUACAAUAGAUAAAGGAAAGUAUUUAUCCUGAGAAGAAGAAGGAGUCCAUAAUAACGACUUAUUUGGUAACUCGAGGGUUACGAUUGAAAGUACAACAUAGUACGAUAAGCAGAUGCAAGAUUGGGCAUCGUCUGCGGUCAAGAAAGCCAUAGAGUUAAAUACUCUUUCGAGGAAACAUAGAAUUUAAGGUUAUUACCUAGGAUGAAGAGAUAGCGUAUGGAAUCAUUGUACAAGUUCUAUUUUCGUUGAUGAUUCCGGGACGUAAUCAUCCUAAGGGGGAGAUAAUUGUAACGCCCGUAGAUCAGGGCUAGUCA
rnacentral:lncRNA from 1 species